GUAGUACUCCCUCCGUCCGGAAAUACUUGUCAUCAAAAUGAAUAAAAGGGGAUGUAUCUAGAUGUAUAUUAGUUCUAGAUACAUCUUUUUUAUCCAUUUUGAUGACAAUUAUUUUCGGACGGAGGGAGUACUUG
rnacentral:pre_miRNA from 1 species